rnacentral:rRNA from 1 species
UACAGAGGUCUCAAGCGUUGUUCGGAUUCAUUGGGCGUAAAGGGUGCGUAGGCGGCGCCGUAAGUCGGGUGUGAAAUUUCGAGGCUUAACCUCGAAACUGCAUUCGAUACUGCGGUGCUUGAGGACUGGAGAGGAGACUGGAAUUCAUGGUGUAGCAGUGAAAUGCGUAGAGAUCAUGAGGAAGACCAGUGGCGAAGGCGGGUCUCUGGACAGUUCCUGACACUGAGGCACGAAGGCCAGGGGAGCAAGCGGG